rnacentral:rRNA from 1 species
AACGAACGCUGGCGGCAUGCCUAACACAUGCAAGUCGAACGAGACCUUCGGGUCUAGUGGCGCACGGGUGCGUAACGCGUGGGAACCUGCCCUUAGGUUCGGAAUAACUCCCCGAAAGGGGUGCUAAUACCGGAUAAUGUCUUCGGACCAAAGAUUUAUCGCCUUUGGAUGGGCCCGCGUUGGAUUAGCUAGUUGGUAGGGUAAAAGCCUACCAAGGCGACGAUCCAUAGCUGGUCUGAGAGGAUGAUCAGCCACACUGGGACUGAGACACGGCCCAGACUCCUACGGGAGGCAGCAGUGGGGAAUAUUGGACAAUGGGCGAAAGCCUGAUCCAGCAAGGCCGCGGGAGUGAUGAAGGCCUUAGGGUGGUAAAGCUCUUUUACCCGGGAUGAUAAGGACAGUACCGGGAGAAUAAGCUCCGGCGAACUCCGG